rnacentral:sRNA from 1 species
CCCAGAGGUAUUGAUGGGUGAACAUCAAAAAGAUUUUUUAUGCUUUGUUUCACCGACCUGCGCAGAUGCGCAGGUUUUUUUU